AGGAUGAACGCUGGCGGCGUGCCUAAUACAUGCAAGUCGAACGCGGGCACUUGUGCCCGAGUGGCGAACGGGUGAGUAAUACAUAAGUAACCUGGCCUUUACAGGGGGAUAACUGCUGGAAACGGCAGCUAAGACCGCAUAGGUAGGGACACUGCAUGGUGACCGUAUUAAAAGUGCUGCAAGGCACUGGUAGAGGAUGGACUUAUGGCGCAUUAGCUGGUUGGUGAGGUAACGGCUCACCAAGGCGACGAUGCGUAGCCGACCUGAGAGGGUGACCGGCCACACUGGGACUGAGACACGGCCCAGACUCCUACGGGAGGCAGCAGUAGGGAAUUUUCGGCAAUGGGGGGAACCCUGACCGAGCAACGCCGCGUGAAGGAAGAAGGAAUUCGUUCUGUAAACUUCUGUUAUAAAGGAAGAAAGACGGAUGGAGGAAAUGACAUCCGAGUGACGGUACUUUAUGAGAAAGCCACGGCUAACUACGUGCCAGCAGCCGCGGUAAUACGU
rnacentral:rRNA from 1 species